AUUGAACGCUGGCGGCAGGCCUAACACAUGCAAGUCGAACGGUAACAGCAAGCCGCUUGCUGCUAUGCUGACGAGUGGCGGACGGGUGAGUAAUGUCUGGGAAACUGCCUGAUGGAGGGGGAUAACGACUGUAAACGGUGGCUAAUACCGCUUAUCGUCCCAAGCCCAAUGUGCCGCACCUUAGGGCCUCUUGCCAUCCGUUGUGCCCAGAUGGGAUUAGCUAGUAGGUGGGGUAACGGCUCACCGAGGCGACGAUGCCUAGCUGGUCUGAGAGGAUGACCAGCCACACUGGAACUGAGACACGGCCCAGACUCCUACGGGAGGCAGCAGUAGGGAAUAUUGCGCAAUGGGCGCAAGCCUGAUGCAGCCAUGCCGCGUGUAUGAAGAAGGCCUUCGGGUUGUAAAGUACUUUCGGCGGGGAGGAAGGGAGUAGAGUGAAUAUGUAUGCUCAUUGACGUUACCCAAAGAGGAAGCACCGGCUAACUCCGUG
rnacentral:rRNA from 1 species